ACAUCCCACUAGUUGCCGUCCAGGCUGUGGGAGGUUUGUUCUUCUUUGCAGUAAAUCUUAAAGCUGCUCACUGGGUCUGCACUAUGUUUAUGAGCUGUGACACUCACCAUGAAAGUCUGCAGCUUCACUCCUGAAGUCAGUCAGACCAUGAACCCACCUGGAGGAACUAACAACUCCAGACGUGCCACCUCUACCAGCCAUAACACUCACUGCGAAGGUCUGCAGCUUCAUUCCUGAAGUUAGCAAGACCACGAACCCACCAGAAGGAAGAAAUUCUGGACACAUCUGAAGGAACAAAUUCCGGACACACCAUCUUUUUUUUUUUUUUUGAGAAGGAGUCUCGGUCUGUCACCCAGACUGGGGUGCAGUGGCGUGAUCUCGGCUUAUUGCAACCUCUGCCUCCCGGAUUCAAGCAAUUCUCCUGUCUCAGCCUCCUGAGUAGCUGCAAUUACAGACAUGUGCCACCACGCCCAGCUCAUUUUUUUGUAUUUUUAGUAGAGACAGGGUUUCGCCAUAUUGGCCAGGCUGGUCUCCAACUCGUGACCUUGUGAUCCACCCACCUCGACCUCCCAAAGUGCUGUGAUGACAGGUGUGAGCCACUGUGCCCAGCCACGGACACAUCAUCUUUAAGUACUGUAACACCGCGAGGGUCCGCGGCUUCAUUCUUGAAUUGAUGUUGGUGUGGGCUGGCAGCUAUCGUCUGGAAUAUCUACACAUGGCUUCUCCGUGAACUUCCUAACAACAUGGUGCCUGGGAUCAAAAGGCAAGUCUCCCAGGAGAGAAGAGGGAGGAGGGAGAACAGGAUGGAAGGAAGGGGAGAGAGAGAGAGAGAGAUCCUUGCCUUCAGGGGGAUACAGAUGUUGUAAGGGUACCCAUUUUUAUACCUUUACAACAUCUACAACAUGGUAAGCAAUGCUGUUACUCUAACAAGUGAAGUUAACACAUGAAUUUUUUUAAAUGAGUUUGUUAACCUGUGGUUGGUUAAUUUUAUGUGUCAACUUGGUUAGGCCACAGUGCCCAAACAUUUGGUCAAAGAUUCUCCUGGAUGUGUCUGUGAGGGUGUUUUUGGAUGAGAUUAACAUUGAAAUUGGUGAACAUUAAGUACAGCAGAUGGCCUUCCAUACUGUGGGUGGGCCUCAUCACAUCAGUUGAAGGCCUGAAUAGAACAAGAGACUCCCUCUCGCUCUCCUGGCUCCAGACAAGAAGAAAUUCUGGGAAUUCUGUCAGCUGACAUCUUCCGGAUUGAACCACAACACUGGCUCUUUUCUAGGUCUCUAGCCUACCAGCCCACACUGCAGAUUUUGAACUUAGCCUCCAUAAGCAUGGGUCAAUUCCUUAAACAAAAUCUCUCUCUCAGUCAGGCUCAUGCUUGUAAUCCCAGCACUUUGGGAGGCUGAAUCUGGCAGAUGGCUUGAGCUCAGGAGUUCGAGACCAGGCUGGGCAACAUGGCAAAACCCCAUCUCUACAAAAAAUAAAAAAUUAGCUGGGCAUGGUGGCAUGCACCUGUAGUCUCAGCUUCUCGCGAGACUGAGGCAGGAGGAUUGCUUGAGCUAGGGGGGGUUGAGGCUGCAGGAAGCCAUGAUUACGCCAGUGCACUCCAGCCUGAGUGACAGAGCAAGGACCUGUCUCAAAAAAAAAAAGAACGAGAGAGAAAUCUUUGUCUAUAAAUAUGCACAUCCUACUGGUUCUGUUUCUCUGGAGAACGCUAUUACAGCCUGCUUUCCUAGUAUCAACAAAACCAUGCGCUCCUUGUCCAGAAGUUUUUGCCCUUGCUUCAUAACUGCAAAUGGAAUUUUCAUGGAAAAUAUUUCCUGUGUUACUUUUUUUUUUUCUGUCAUCCAGGCUGGAGUCCAGUGGUGCAACCUCAGCUCACUGCCAUCUCCCCUCUGGGUUCAAGAGAUUCUCAUGCCUCAGCCUCCUGAGUAGCUGGGACUCCAGGUAUGCUCCACUACGCCUGGCUGAUUUUUGUAUUUUUCAUAGAGAGGUGUUUCACCACAUUGGCCAGGCUGGUCUUGAACUGACCUCAGGUGAUGUGAUCUGCCUGCUCCGGCCCCCCAAAGUGCUGGGAUUACAGGCAUGAGCCACUGUGCCCCGCCACAUUACUUCUUAAUAAUAGAUGAUGUGCCCCUAAUAUACAGUAUUUACAUAUUGGCUGUAAAGCCUUGCAGCAAGGUGGCAGUUUUCAGCCAUUUUUUGAGGAGGAUGUGAACAGGAGCCAUUACAUGGCUCAUCAGUAAUCUGUUGCAAAGAAGCUGUGCUCAUCAGCGCAGAAGUAAAUCUUUCAUUACUGGAAAAUGCGAAUCAGCUCGAGUGAAACAGGGCUCUGUUGGCUUAUAAAACUUAAUUAUGUUUUUAACUCCAUAAAUUAGUUCAAGUAAAGACGUUUGAAAACAGCCAAUUUCCAGUUUGAACUUACAGAAAAUUAAUGGCAAGAAUGUAAACUUCUAAUGCGUUAAGAAAUUAUUUGAAUUUCUUAACUGUGUCUCCCACUAAAAGUUUGUGCUUUAAAUUUUGUCAGUUCUGCAUCAAAAUUGCUCAGUUUCCUCUUAUACAACAAACCCUAGAUAAUUCUAACGUUUCAGAAUAAGAGCAUUUCCUUAAGAAGAGAAAAUACACUGGGGGUGGUGGGGGGGAAUGGGAUCAGUACGUGGCUUAAGUUUUUCACCCUUGAGGAGUUAAGAAAAACACUUCAACAUAAGGACAAAAGCUCCCUUGUUUAAGCACUUCCCCAGCUGCACUUCAACUAAAUAUAUCCUGGGCAGAGUGUUUUCAUUUCUCCACCCCUCUCCUGAGCCAAUCACAUGGUGACAAACAGCUCGGAGGCCCCUUGGGACUAGCACUGCAGAGGUACAGGCUUGGUUACGGGGCUUCGCGUUCCUUUCCAGCACAGGCCUGCUCUGGGCCACCCUGCCUCCCCCAGAGGCUGCAGGGAGCCCCAAGCCGGCGCACUGCGGGCUCUGCUCAGAGAGACGCCUCCACGGGUUAAUUCAGCGGCCUCUGUCUGGAAUUCAUGCACCACCUGGGCUGACAGCAUGAAUGACUCAUUGUUUCCCCUCUGAACAGGCUGAGGAGUGCUUCUUGGUGUCAAUAACUGAGGCAAAGUAAAAUUGUUUUUUCCCUUUCAACAUGACCAAUUUUCUAAAACUGAAUAUAGAACUGGAAAUCUG